AUUGAACGCUGGCGGCAUGCCUUACACAUGCAAGUCGAACGGCAGCAUGAUCUAGCUUGCUAGAUUGAUGGCGCGUGGCGAUCGGGUGAGUCAUACAUCGCAACGUGCCCUGUUGUGGGGGCUACCUCGUCGAAAGAUUAGCUAAUACCGCAUACGCCCUGAGGGUGAACGUGGGGGACCGCACGUCCCCCUGCUAUACGAGCGGCCGAGGUCUGAUUCUCUAGUUGGUGAGGUAAGGGCUCACCAAGGCGACGAUCAGUAGCUGGUCAGAGAGGACGAUCAGCCACACUGGAACUGAGACACGGCCCAGACUCCUACGGGAGGCAGCAGUGGGGAAUUUUGGACAAUGGGCGAAAGCCUGAUCCAGCAAUGCCGCGUGUGUGAAGAAGGCCUUCGGGUUGUAAAGCACUUUUGUCCGGAAAGAAAUGGCUCUGGUUAAUACCUGGGGUCGAUGACGGUACCGGAAGAAUAAGGACCGGCUAACUACGUG
rnacentral:rRNA from 1 species